rnacentral:snRNA from 1 species
GGAUGUGAGGGCGACCUGGCUGCAACAUCUGUCACCCCGUUGAUGGCCAGGGUGGAUUCAGCUGAUCUGUCUGGCUAGGUGGGUGUCCCCUUCCUCUCUCACUGCUCCAUGUGUGUCCCUCCUGAAGCUGCACACUUGGUCAAAGAGGACGACCAUCCUGGAUAGAGGAGGACUGUUCUUUGGUCAAACGUAUAGGACUAGCUGCACUCCCUGCGAGAACCUCCAAACAAACUCUCAAUGGUAUCACAACACUAUGUGGUCUGACUCCUU